ACCAUCCUCCAAGGCUAAAUACUCCUGACUGACCGAUAGUGAACCAGUACCGUGAGGGAAAGGCGAAAAGAACCCCGGCGAGGGGAGUGAAAAAGAACCUGAAACCGUGUACGUACAAGCAGUGGGAGCACGCUUAGGCGUGUGACUGCGUACCUUUUGUAUAAUGGGUCAGCGACUUAUAUUCUGUAGCAAGGUUAACCGAAUAGGGGAGCCGAAGGGAAACCGAGUCUUAACUGGGCGUUAAGUUGCAGGGUAUAGACCCGAAACCCGGUGAUCUAGCCAUGGGCAGGUUGAAGGUUGGGUAACACUAACUGGAGGACCGAACCGACUAAUGUUGAAAAAUUAGCGGAUGACUUGUGGCUGGGGGUGAAAGGCCAAUCAAACCGGGAGAUAGCUGGUUCUCCCCGAAAGCUAUUUAGGUAGCGCCUCGUGAAUUCAUCUCCGGGGGUAGAGCACUGUUUCGGCAAGGGGGUCAUCCCGACUUACCAACCCGAUGCAAACUGCGAAUACCGGAGAAUGUUAUCACGGGAGACACACGGCGGGUGCUAACGUCCGUCGUGAAGAGGGAAACAACCCAGACCGCCAGCUAAGGUCCCAAAGUCAUGGUUAAGUGGGAAACGAUGUGGGAAGGCCCAGACAGCCAGGAUGUUGGCUUAGAAGCAGCCAUCAUUUAAAGAAAGCGUAAUAGCUCACUGGUCGAGUCGGCCUGCGCGGAAGAUGUAACGGGGCUAAACCAU
rnacentral:rRNA from 1 species